GACGUGGGGUGCGAGCGUUGUCCGGAUUUAUUGGGCGUAAAGAGCUCGUAGGCGGCUUGUCGCGUCGACCGUGAGAACUUGGGGCUCAACCCCAAGCCUGCGGUCGAUACGGGCAGGCUAGAGUUCGGUAGGGGAGACUGGAAUUCCUGGUGUAGCGGUGAAAUGCGCAGAUAUCAGGAGGAACACCGGUGGCGAAGGCGGGUCUCUGGGCCGAUACUGACGCUGAGGAGCGAAAGCGUGGGGAGCGAACAGG
rnacentral:rRNA from 1 species